AUGACUUUGCUUCGGAACCGGAGGCUCGGAGCUGAGGGUGACGCACGGGAACCAGUAUCUACGUUUGCCGUCCCUGUGUCCGUCGUCGAUCAUAGCCCCUCCUGGUCGCACAACAGAGUUCCAUGGCCGCCUCCCCACCUCAGCCCCCCCGGUCCCCGGCGGCUCCCCGCUCGUCCUCACCCCCUCCCUCUCUUUCUCUCUCCCCCCGCCGCCACCGUCGACCCCCACGGCUGGUUCGCCGCCUUCCUCCUCUUCGCCAUCGACGUGGACGUUGGCGUGCGCGCGCGGGCGGCAGAGCUUGCUGUCCGGCUGCGUGGCGCGCCCGUGUUGUACUGCCUGAAGAGCUCUAUCCGGAGGAGUACGAGGAGACGCGUGAUCCGCCGGCGCCGUCUUCCCUCUUCCCUCUUUCCAUCCCUCCUGCUCGCCAGCGGCUCCUCCUCCCCUGCCUCCUCACGUCGCCCUCAGGUCCGAGGCAACGAGUUUGCUUCCUCUGCUCCGUUCAUGUCAUUGAGGGGCUGCUCUUUGAUUCAGAGUAAAAUCAGAUCUUCACCUAUAGAGGAGUGUGUACCUCUAGAUUCUGCAUCAUUAGUGAGCAACUUACCUAAGUUCUCUGACUCAUCUGAUUGGGGUUUGGGUAUACCAGUGUUGGUUGGAGUGUUGGUUGCAUCCUCGUUGAGCUAUGCUCGUUUAUCAGCUCAGAAAUAUUUUAGGCGAGGGACACGUCUAAAUUGGCCUGAAGGUGCUGUUACAAGAGAAAGCAUCAGAGCAGUCAGGAAACUACACCGGCUAAAGGAAACUAAGCUGGAUGGUGAGAACGCUGAUGUUGUGGUUACUGGAGAUGAGAAGAACGUGCAGUCUGACCAAACCUAG
rnacentral:rRNA from 1 species